GAUGAACGCUAGCGGCAGGCCUAAUACAUGCAAGUCGAGGGGUAGAGGAAGCUUGCUUUCUUGAGACCGGCGCACGGGCGCGUAACGCGUAUGCAACCUACCUUUAUCAGGGGGAAAGCCCGGAGAAAUCCGGAUUAACACCGCAUAAAAUCACAGAACAGCAUUGUUUCAUGAUCAAAUAUUUAUAGGAUAAAGAUGGGCAUGCGUGCCAUUAGCUAGUUGGCGGGGUAACGGCCCACCAAGGCGACGAUGGCUAGGGGCUCUGAGAGGAGAAUCCCCCACACUGGUACUGAGACACGGACCAGACUCCUACGGGAGGCAGCAGUAAGGAAUAUUGGUCAAUGGGGGCAACCCUGAACCAGCCAUGCCGCGUGCAGGAAGACUGCCCUAUGGGUUGUAAACUGCUUUUGUACGGGAAUAACCACUGGUAUGUAUACCAGCCUGAAUGUACCGUAAGAAUAAGGAUCGGCUAACUCCGUGCCAGCCGCCGCGGUAAAAC
rnacentral:rRNA from 1 species